UUCAGUCCUAAAAAUGAAGUCCUUGUCUCAGCUCCUGUGGCUGUUAAUGCUCUGGAUCCCUGGAUCAAGUGGAGAUGUUGUGAUGACCCAGACUCCACUCCCCUUGCCUGUCAACCUAGGAGAGCUGGCCUCCAUCUCUUGCAGGUCUAUUCAGAACUUUCUAUAUAGCAAUGGAAACACAUAUUUGAAAUGGUUCCUGCAGAAGCGAGGGCAGUCUCCACAACUCCUGAUCUAUGAGGUUUCCAACUGAGAAUCUGGGAUCUCAGAAAGAUUCAGUGUCAGUGGGU